rnacentral:snRNA from 1 species
GUGCAGCACACAUACUAAAAUUGGAACGAUACAGAGAAGAUGAGCAUGAUCCCUGCGAAGGGUGACAUGCAAAUUCGUGAAGGCUUCCAUAUUUUU